GUUGUAUGGUUAAGUGACUAAGCGUACACGGUGGAUGCCUUGGCAGUCAGAGGCGAUGAAAGACGUAGUAACUUGCGAUAAGCCCAGAUUAGGUAGUAACAACCAUUUGAGUCUGGGAUUUCUGAAUGGGGAAACCCACGUGCAUAAGCACGUAUCCUUACCUGAAUACAUAGGGUAAGGAGGCGAACCGGGGGAACUGAAACAUCUAAGUACCCCGAGGAAAAGAAAUCAACCGAGAUUCCGAAAGUAGCGGCGAGCGAAAUUGGACUAGCCCUUAAGCUUUACACGCGUUAGACGAACGGUCUGGAAAGUCCGACGAUACAGGGUGAUAGUCCCGUAGUUGACGACGUGUGUUCAGUGAAAUCGAGUAGGGCGGGACACGUGAUAUCCUGUCUGAAUAUGGGGGGACCAUCCUCCAAGGCUAAAUACUACUGACUGACCGAUAGUGAACCAGUACCGUGAGGGAAAGGCGAAAAGAACCCCUGUGAGGGGAGUGAAAUAGAACCUGAAACCGUGUACGUACAAGCAGUAGGAGCAGGCUUUGUCCUGUGACUGCGUACCUUUUGUAUAAUGGGUCAGCGACUUAUAUUCAGUGGCAAGGUUAACCAUCUAGGGGAGCCGUAGGGAAACCGAGUCUUAACUGGGCGUUCAGUCUCUGGAUAUAGACCCGAAACCAGGUGAUCUAGCCAUGGGCAGGUUGAAGGUUGAGUAACAUCAACUGGAGGACCGAACCGACUAAUGUUGAAAAAUUAGCGGAUGACUUGUGGCUAGGGGUGAAAGGCCAAUCAAACCUGGAGAUAGCUGGUUCUCCCCGAAAGCUAUUUAGGUAGCGCCUCGGACGAAUACUACUGGGGGUAGAGCACUGUUAAGGCUAGGGGGUCAUCCCGACUUACCAACCCUUUGCAAACUCCGAAUACCAGUAAGUACUAUCCGGGAGACACACGGCGGGUGCUAACGUCCGUCGUGGAGAGGGAAACAACCCAGACCGCCAGCUAAGGUCCCAAAUUACUACUAAGUGGGAAACGAUGUGGGAAGGCUCAGACAGCCAGGAUGUUGGCUUAGAAGCAGCCAUCAUUUAAAGAAAGCGUAAUAGCUCACUGGUCGAGUCGGCCUGCGCGGAAGAUGUAACGGGGCUAAGUAGUAAACCGAAGCUGCGGCAAUAUACUUUUGUAUAUUGGGUAGGGGAGCGUUCUGUAAGCGGUUGAAGGUGUGUGGUAACGCAUGCUGGACGUAUCAGAAGUGCGAAUGCUGACAUGAGUAACGAUAAAGGGGGUGAAAAACCUCCUCGCCGGAAGACCAAGGGUUCCUGUCCAACGUUAAUCGGGGCAGGGUAAGUCGACCCCUAAGGCGAGGCCGAAAGGCGUAGUCGAUGGGAAACGGGUUAAUAUUCCCGUACUUCUUACAAUUGCGAUGGGGGGACGGAGAAGGCUAGGUGGGCCUGGCGACGGUUGUCCAGGUUCAAGUGCGUAGGCUUAAGAGUUAGGUAAAUCCGGCUCUUUCUAAGGCUGAGACACGACGUCGAGCACCUACGGGUGUGAAGUCAUUGAUGCCAUGCUUCCAGGAAAAGCCUCUAAGCUUCAGAUUGUAAGGAAUCGUACCCCAAACCGACACAGGUGGUCGGGUAGAGAAUACCAAGGCGCUUGAGAGAACUCGGGUGAAGGAACUAGGCAAAAUGGUACCGUAACUUCGGGAGAAGGUACGCUCUUGAUGGUGAAGUCCCUUGCGGAUGGAGCUGACGAGAGUCGCAGAUACCAGGUGGCUGCAACUGUUUAUUAAAAACACAGCACUGUGCAAAAUCGUAAGAUGACGUAUACGGUGUGACGCCUGCCCGGUGCCGGAAGGUUAAUUGAUGGGGUUAGACUUCGGUCGAAGCUCUUGAUCGAAGCCCCGGUAAACGGCGGCCGUAACUAUAACGGUCCUAAGGUAGCGAAAUUCCUUGUCGGGUAAGUUCCGACCUGCACGAAUGGCGUAAUGAUGGCCACGCUGUCUCCACCCGAGACUCAGUGAAAUUGAAAUCGCUGUGAAGAUGCAGUGUACCCGCGGCUAGACGGAAAGACCCCGUGAACCUUUACUACAGCUUGGCACUGAACAUUGACCCUACAUGUGUAGGAUAGGUGGGAGGCUUUGAAGCACGUACGCCAGUAUGUGUGGAGCCGUCCUUGAAAUACCACCCUUGUAGUGUUGAUGUUCUAACGUCGACCCCUUAUCGGGGUUGCGGACAGUGCCUGGUGGGUAGUUUGACUGGGGCGGUCUCCUCCCAAAGAGUAACGGAGGAGCACGAAGGUGGGCUAAUCACGGUUGGACAUCGUGAGGUUAGUGCAAUGGCAUAAGCCCGCUUGACUGCGAGAAUGACAAUUCGAGCAGGUGCGAAAGCAGGUCAUAGUGAUCCGGUGGUUCUGAAUGGAAGGGCCAUCGCUCAACGGAUAAAAGGUACUCCGGGGAUAACAGGCUGAUACCGCCCAAGAGUUCAUAUCGACGGCGGUGUUUGGCACCUCGAUGUCGGCUCAUCACAUCCUGGGGCUGAAGUCGGUCCCAAGGGUAUGGCUGUUCGCCAUUUAAAGUGGUACGCGAGGUGGGUUUAGAACGUCGUGAGACAGUUCGGUCCCUAUCUGCCGUGGGCGUUGGAAGAUUGAAGGGGGCUGCUCCUAGUACGAGAGGACCGGAGUGGACGAACCUCUGGUGUUCGGGUUGUGUCGCCAGACGCAUUGCCCGGUAGCUAAGUUCGGAAUCGAUAACCGCUGAAAGCAUCUAAGCGGGAAGCGAGCCCUGAGAUGAGUCUUCCCUGAUACUUUAAGUAUCCUAAAGGGUUGUCGGAGACUACGACGUUGAUAGGUCAGGUGUGUAAGUGCUGUGAGGCAUUGAGCUAACUGAUACUAAUUGCCCGUGAGGCUUAACCAUACAACACCCAAGGGGUUU
rnacentral:rRNA from 1 species